rnacentral:lncRNA from 1 species
ACAAGACUUACAAAUUUGGGAUCUUAAGUAUGAUGUCAUGUCUUAAAAUGAUAAGCUGCCAUUUUCAUGUUUACGCUACUUAAGAUGAAGGUUCUAAUAAGUCAUCGGCUAUGUUCCUUUAAAGGGAAGUUUUAUAACUGAGAUGAAUCACAACUGCAAAAGAUCAAAGUUAAAAAACAUCAAUGAUGCCAUAGGGUACUUUUUAAUCUUGUAAUGAGUGAUGAUCAUGUGCUCUUAUGAAGUUAGUCCAACUGCCAACGCCAGAUGUGUAUAUUAAGAAAAGAAGUUGUUUGUGAUGUGACAGCACUGGUUCAGCUGCCAGAGACAGAAAACAUAGAAGGAUGAAACCUUUUGGAUUUUUGAGUGAAAAGCAAGUCUUGGAAGAUGUGUU